AUGCUCGUGAAGAUGGGGUGUGGGGGUUACCGUUCUCGCAUACUCCUGGCGCACUCAACACCGGUGAUCCCCACACGCCGGCCUGCUUUGAAGACGACGACGCCGGGGUUGUCUUUCAUGUGCAACCCCCGGCGACCCCUUCACGCCGGACUCAUCACCGGCGACCACUUCAUGCCGGACUCACCGCCGGCGACGACGCGCCGGGGUUGCCUGUGCAGCCUCCGGCGACCCCUUGACGCCGGACUCACCACCGGCGACGACGCGCCGGGGUUGCCAUUCGUGCGCAGUCCCCGGCGACCCCUUCACGCCGGACUCACCACGGGCGACAACGCGCCGGGGUUGCUAUUCGUGUGCAGCCCCCGGCGACCCCUUCACGCCGGACUCAUCACUGACGAUGACGCGCCGGGGUUGCCUUUCGCGUGCAGCCCCCGGCGACCCCUUCACGUCGGACUCAUCACUGGCGACGACACGUCGGGGUUGUCCUUCAUGUGCAGCCCCCGGCGACCCCUUCAUGCCGGACUCACCACCGGCAACGACGCGCCGGCGUUGCUCUUCGUGUGCAGCCCCCGGCGGUCCCUCCAUGCCGGACACACCAUCAGCGACGACAUGCCAGGGCUGGGCGCCCUAGACGCACUCUCCGCGCAAGACGACAACUACCACGAAGACGGGGCUGCCUCCCACGCGUGCCCCCGGCGCACUCUCCGCACAUGA
rnacentral:rRNA from 1 species